UACGUAGGGGGCAAGCGUUGUCCGGAAUUAUUGGGCGUAAAGAGCGUGUAGGCGGUCCGGUAAGUCAGCUGUGAAAGUCAAGGGCUCAACCCUUGAAUGCCGGUUGAUACUGUCGGGCUAGAGUCCGGAAGAGGCGAGUGGAAUUCCCGGUGUAGCGGUGAAAUGCGCAGAUAUCGGGAGGAACUCCAAUGGCGAAGGCAGCUCGCUGGGACGGUACUGACGCUGAGACGCGAAAGCGUGGGGAGCAAACGGG
rnacentral:rRNA from 1 species